rnacentral:rRNA from 1 species
AUGUCUAGUCCCGAGCAUAGCGGCAUCGAAAUGCCCGGGGCGGAGCCCGUGGCAGACGCCCGCGUGUCUCUGGCAAGAGGCAAGCCCAAAGUUGGUGCAGAUCCUCGAGCAGCUGCUGCUGCAGGUGCCGGCGCCGGCGCGGGUGAUGAGGACCAGAUCCUCAAGCAGAUCCUCGAGCAGCAGCUGCUGCUUGUGCAAGCGCUGCGUGCAGACGGACAGGGGGGCCUAGUGGAGGUGACCCCGGAGUCUCAGCAAGCUGAAGAUGACAAGGAGUAUCUGGACAAGAUGCGCGGGUGGCUGAUGACGGUGGCCACACUCUUCGUCGGCUUCGCGUUCCAGACGGGGAUGCACCCGCCUAACUGGAUACCCAAGGACUAUUUGCUGCUGUGGCUAGCCGCAUAUACUCCCCAUCCAGACUCCAAGACCAAGCAUGAUGCCUUGCUCGCCCUCAGGAAUGCAGGUCACACUAUACUAUACCUCUUUUCAUGUUCUUGA